AUAUUUAGAACUAGAAUCUUUAACAUGCACGAGAUGGUACACACACCCCUUAGAAAUCAUUUUCCUUGCUCGAAGGUAGGAAAUAAGUUGACCCCUGAACGAUGAAAUGCUACCCUUCUACUCUAGGACGGGCUCAUUCAGGAACUGAAAUUGAACUAUCCUAUUUCUGCAUUCAACUGUGGAAUAACAGGAAUGAAGCCAAUCCAUGUCGAGAAUGACAUCAAAAUUAGUCAUCUCUAACUCUACUAAAUCUACUGACGUGGAUUUCUAAGAUAUCAUAACCGAGC
rnacentral:lncRNA from 1 species